rnacentral:lncRNA from 1 species
CAAGAAGCUCUGGGAUCAAUUAAAAUGCCAGGCUUUUCCAGGCUGGUUUCCAGCGCAUCUGUGCAUGAUUCCACAUAAAUUUAGGGAAUUAGAGAUCAGACAAAAGUUAUAAGACAGCUGUUGAUGUCCCACUCACUAGUUAGGAGGAUUUAGAAGAAACUGCUUUCCAGGAAAUCCCAGUCAACUUCCAAAUAGAUCUCUUUAGUCAAAAAUGUGUCACAGCUCCAACUUAAAGAGCCACUGGGGAGAGCUCAGUCAUGUAAUCCAAUACUAUCUA